AGGUACUUUAGCAACGAGUUUCUGUAUUGCCUGCGCCAUGAUGACGACCGUUCCGUGCACAGCAGGAAAAGACCAAAGAAGAAGAAAAGAGAUUUCCGGGUCGUUCGUACUUCAAAAUAAAAGUGGGCGAUGCGGAAAACUCCAAAAGGCAGAGAGCGUAUCAACCUCCCCAUCUGAUGCUCAACAACCAGGUUGGAACAUGGCAGAGGCUGUUAAAAGGGCGAGUUCACCCAAUUCAUCUCACUUCAAGCGCACCCAUCUGUCCGCACAGAUAGACCAUCUUCAACUCGCUGAGGCGGAGUCUGCCGCCACAACAGGAGUUUUGUUUGUGUGUGAGAGCAUUCUACCAGAUCAACGGCAGUGUUACAUGUUGCUAAGAAGUGAAUACAUCUUUUUGUUUUUUUUUAAACUAAAUUUGUUUUAAAUUUUCUUUUUUUUUAAAAAAAACAA